rnacentral:rRNA from 1 species
AACGAACGCUGGCGGCAGGCUUAACACAUGCAAGUCGAACGCCCCGCCAGGGGAGUGGCCGACGGGUGAGUACCGCGUGGGAACAUACCCUUUUCUACGGAAUAGCUCUGGGAAACUGGAAUUAAUACCGUAUACGCCCUACGGGGGAAAGAUUUAUCGGGGAAGGAUUGGCCCGCGUUGGAUUAGCUAGUUGGUGGGGUAAAGGCCUACCAAGGCGACGAUCCAUAGCUGGUCUGAGAGGAUGAUCAGCCACAUUGGGACUGAGACACGGCCCAAACUCCUACGGGAGGCAGCAGUGGGGAAUAUUGGACAAGGGGCGCAAGCCUGAUCCAGCCAUGCCGCGUGAGUGAUGAAGGCCUUAGGGUUGUAAAGCUCUUUCACCGAUGAAGAUAAUGACGGUAGUCGGAGAAGAAGCCCCGGCUAACUUCGUG